UACAGAGGUGGCAAGCGUUGUUCGGAAUUACUGGGCGUAAAGCGUGCGCAGGCGGCGCGUUAAGACAGGUGUGAAAGCCCCGAGCUUAACUUGGGAAUUGCGCUUGUGACUGGCGUGCUGGAGUGUGGCAGAGGGAGGUGGAAUUCCACGUGUAGCAGUGAAAUGCGUAGAGAUGUGGAGGAACACCGAUGGCGAAGGCAGCCUCCUGGGCCAGCACUGACGCUCAUGCACGAAAGCGUGGGGAGCAAACAGG
rnacentral:rRNA from 1 species